rnacentral:rRNA from 1 species
GACUCUUAGCGGUGGGUCACUCGGCUUGUGUGAUGACGACAAGCAGAGCUAGCUGCGAGAACUAAUGUGAAUUGCAGGACACACUGAUCAAUAACAAUUUGAACUCAAUUUUGUGACCUCGGAUUCCUUCCCACCUGUCA